GUAUCGCUUUACGAAUCGCCGGCGCCGGUAGUUUUUUCUCGUUUUUCUGCUGUUUUGUAAAUUGUUUUUUUUUUUAAUCGAAUAAGCCGAAGAAGAUUUGUUUUUUAGUGAACUGUUAAAUAAAAAACUUUUGUGCUACUCGAUUUGCUAAAAUGAAAAGGCAAUCGAAAGUUGUGAAUCGCCAUCGCCGCGGGUUGUUUUGGUUGUUUCGUGUGAAGCAAAUCGGAUAAAUUGGAUAAAGUUUCUUUUCUAGUGAAGUGUUGAAUGAUGAAAAAAUUUGAUGAAAUCGUUGCCGGAUAUUUGAAUCGUUUUGUUAGUGCUAUCAGCAAUAUCCUUUAAGCCAGUAAACUUAGUUGGAACGUCAUACUAGAUUAUUCCCCCACGAAAACGGCGAAUGUUUAUACGUUUAACCCAACAAGCAACAGCAGAACAAGCAAAGUUGUUGCAUCACGGAUUUACGAUGGCUUAUUAAAAUUUACGUGGCAGGUCUAAUAAGCAAAAAGACCUAUUUCAGUGAUCAGGAUGCAGGACCGUUGGCGACACCGAAAUUAUUACAAAAAGAUCCAGCACUGAUUGAAAUACCUCCAAGUACGUCGAUCACACCAAUAUCAACGUUUUAUGGGGACCAGUGCCGAAGGAGCUGAUUACAGCGGAAUGUACCGCUAAUUGUUACAAUUCUCAAAAAAUUGUGAGGAUAUUCCGGCUUGUUUGGUUUGCUGACGAAACCUGCCAUUCGUUUGUUGGGUGUUGACUGGUGGCGCAUUUCAGACAGACAGGGCUUUGAUUUUGAUAAGGAUACAAAAUAAUUACAGACGGUGAAAAACAGUAUGCCAUCAAACGUGCCACCCACCAUGCCAAUCACAGUAUGUUCAUAUUCAUAAAAGGACCACCACCCAUGAACGGCAUUGUCGAAGACAAUUUUUUAAAAUAACUACUUUUACGACUUGGUUACCAAUCAAAUUGAAAAUCGUGGAACAAUUUUGUCGAUAUCAGUGGUGGUGGCGGCUUUGGUAGUGGUCGGCGCCACUAAAGCAACUGGAUGAACAAUUAUCGUUGAGGCCUCCGAAGUAGCCACUACCGGCCACUAUGGCUAUCAACCAUUAUUCUGCUUGUUAUAGAGCAUAUUUUUCAUAGAGCAUAAUAUAACAGCGCUUAGUAUAUAAGAUGAAAACUAUGCCAAAUGAGCUAACGUCGAAUAUCGACCAUUCUUGGUUUAAAUUAAACUUUACUCACGUUUGAAUAACUUAAAAAAAGCUCAUGUGUCAUUUUUGACUAACAAAAUUCUUAAUAAAUACUCUUUUUCUA